GUGAUGACUGUUGCCCAGUUGGUUCAACAGCCCGGUCAUGAGCAUCUUCCCUAUCUCACUCCGUGUCCAAAGGGGCAACGUCAAACAUGGUAAUUAAAAGUCUUUUUUUUUCUUUCAUUAAAAUUUGAUUCAUUAUUAAUAAUUUGUUUCUUAUAUUAGGUUCAACCGAUCCGGGAACGGGAUCAUCGCAUGGAUCAACAAUAUGAUGUACUCGAACCUCAGCAAGGGAUAUCCGACUUUCUCUCACUUCCCUGCCGAGGACCAGGAGAUGUGGUUUCGUCAGUUUGCGCAAGAGUUCACCUGGAAUCCCGAUCACACGAACUUUAUCCGUGACGCCUUCGUCCAUAAAGUUAUGGACAACUAUGGGAAGCAGAUCUACGAGUGGAAGCAGAAGUGGCUCAUCAAUCAGGUUUUUUUAAUUUAUUAAACAAUUUUUUGAAUUUAUUAAACUAUUUUUGGAUUUAUUAAACUAUUUUAUAUUUUUUUUUAUUAAAAGGUCCCGAAGUCGAUCAACAGCACGGUCUGGGAGGAGUUGUGUGUGCAUUGGGAUAAGGACGAGACGAAAGCUACCUCCGUGACCAACUCCGCCAACCGCAAGAGCGAUUGUGGCGAGAAGGGCAUGUACAAGCACAAUUUGGGUGCCCAAACUAUUGCCACACUGGGGGAUCGCUUGGUAAGUUCAAUCUUUUUUUUUUUAAUUAUUUAAGUAUUUUUAUUUUAUUUUUUAUGCAUUUCUUCUAAUUUCUAAUGUUUGUUUAACUUUUGUUUUUUCAAGGCGGAUGAAAAUGAUGGCGAGCCGGUUGAUGAUUUCGUCCUAAAGAAGACAGCGCAUACCAACAAGCACACCGGGGAGAUUGAUGAUGGUGUUGUGAGGGAUGUGCUCAGCCUGAUCGAAACUCAGAAGGAAGACGAAGAGACCCGCCUAUCUCAGCUUCAAACCGACAUGGACGCCACUUCGACGACUUCGACCAACUUGUCCCGGAUUCGAAUCAACGAAAUCGUUGAAUCGUCGGUUCCAAAGAAGAAGGGACGUUUGGUCGGUUUAGGUCGUCGAGCCCGGUCGGUUCCUCCUUCUGCACCACAGCCCUAUGUUGAUCCAGAAGUGCUUAUGGACCAGUUGAAGGACAGAGAUGACCGCAUAGCUGCGUUG